AUGCAAGUCGAACGAGAAAGCCCUUUCGGGGGUGAGUAGAGUGGCGGACGGGUGAGUAACACGUGGGAACCUGCCCUGUAGUAUGGAAUAACCACUGGAAACGGUGGCUAAUACCGUAUACGCCCGUCGGUGGAUUGAUUUAUCGCUAUAGGAUGGGCCCGCGGCAGAUUAGCUUGUUGGUAAGGUAAUGGCUUACCAAGGCAAUGAUCUGUAGCUGGUUUGAGAGGACGAUCAGCCACACUGGAACUGAGACACUGUCCAGACUCCUACGGGAGGCUGCAGUCAGGAAUCUUGGACAAUGGGGGAAACCCUGAUCCAGCCAUGCCGCGUGAGUGAAGAAGGCCUUCGGGUCGUAAAGCUCUUUCGCACGUGACGAUGAUGACGGUAACGUGAGAAGAAGCACCGGCUAACUUCGUGCCAGCAGCCGCGGUAAUACGAAGGGUGCAAGCGUUGUACGGAUUUACUGGGCGUAAAGCGCAUGUAGGCGGUAUAUCAAGUCAGAGGUGAAAGCCCAAGGCUCAACCUUGGAACUGCCUUUGAUACUGAUAAACUAGAGUACGAUAGAGGAUAGCGGAAUUUCCCGUGUAAGAGGUGAAAUUCGUAGAUAUUGGAAGGAACACCAGUGGCGAAAGCGGCUAUCUGGAUC
rnacentral:rRNA from 1 species